AAGUCGAGCGCCCCGCAAGGGGAGCGGCAGACGGGUGAGUAACGCGUGGGAAUCUACCCAUCACUACGGAACAACUCCGGGAAACUGGAGCUAAUACCGUAUACGUCCUUCGGGAGAAAGAUUUAUCGGUGAUGGAUGAGCCCGCGUUGGAUUAGCUAGUUGGUGGGGUAAUGGCCUACCAAGGCGACGAUCCAUAGCUGGUCUGAGAGGAUGAUCAGCCACACUGGGACUGAGACACGGCCCAGACUCC
rnacentral:rRNA from 1 species